GGCCUAAACAAAUAGCUCAAGCAGACGUAUCUAGGUAUCCUUUCCCCGCAUCACUUCCACAAAACUCAGCCGUACAUAUUUGCCGCUCGCCGCCGCCAUGAACGACGACGGAUUUACAGCUGAGAGAUUGUUCAACCAAGGCUACUCUUACACUUACGAUGAUAUCAUCUUUCUCCCUGGCUACAUCGACUUCCCUGUCGACGGCGUCAACCUCUCCACUAAGCUCAGCCGCAACAUCUCCCUCUCCAUCCCCUGCGUCGCUUCUCCUAUGGACACCGUCACCGAGACCUCCAUGGCCGUUGCCAUGGCGGCGCUCGGCGGAAUAGGUAUGGUUCACUACAACAACACUAUCUCUCAACAAGCAUCCAUCAUCCUUGCUGCCAAAUCUCAUAAAAUCCCUUUCUCCGCCGACUUAAUCUUCGCUACUCCCUCGGAUUCAAUCCAUUCCGCCGAUGAAUUCGCUAACUCCCCUUGCAUUUUCGUCACCGAGUCAGGGAACAAACAAUCCAAACUGUUAGGACACGUGUCAAAGUCUGAUUGGAAGAACUUGAGCAAUAAGGAAGCUAGGAUUUCUGCUUAUAUGAACACUUCUCCCGUUACUCUGCCUUCGAGUUAUGAUUUCAAUGACGUGGCAGGCUACAUGGCAUCUAAAAAGCUGGACUUUGUUGCAUUAGUAAACGAGGAGGAGGAAAACGGGGAAGUAGUCAAUUUAGUGACGAGUGCUGACACGGAGAGAAUAAAGGGACUUCCGAAAUUGGGUUUGCCAUCUUUAGGGGAAGACGGGAAGUUCUUAGUGGGGGCAGCGGUGGGGACGAGGGAAUCAGAUAAAGAGAGGCUGGAGCAUUUGGUGAAAGAAGGGAUUAAUGCUGUGGUGAUUGAUAGCUCGCAAGGGAAUUCGCUGUACCAGAUUAAUAUGAUCAAGCAUGUGAAACAUACUUACCCUCACUUGGAUGUGAUUGGUGGAAAUGUAGUCACUAAUUACCAAGCUGAGAACUUAAUUAAGCAGGGAGUUGAUGGAUUGAGGGUUGGUAUGGGAUCUGGGUCCAUCUGUACCACUCAAGAAGUUUGCGCUGUGGGUCGCGGUCAGGCAACUGCUGUUUACAAGGUGUCAUCAAUUGCUGAGCAGCAUGGUAUCCCUGUGAUUGCUGAUGGUGGGAUUUCAAAUUCUGGCCAUAUCGUGAAGGCAUUGUCCCUUGGAGCAUCAACUGUCAUGAUGGGAAGCUUCUUGGCUGGUAGUAAUGAAGCUCCUGGCACAUAUGAAUAUAAGAAUGGUCUGCGUGUGAAAAAAUAUCGAGGUAUGGGAUCCCUGGAAGCAAUGACAAAAGGGAGUGAUGCAAGAUACUUGGGUGAUACUGCUAAACUAAAGAUUGCUCAGGGAGUUGUUGGUUCAGUUGCUGAUAAAGGUUCUAUUCUGAAGUUCAUUCCCUAUACAAUGCAAGCUGUAAAGCAAGGAUUCCAGGAUCUAGGUGCUUCCUCCUUGCAAUCUGCUCAUCAUCUUUUAAAAUCAGGCAAAUUGAGGCUAGAGGUCCGAACAGGAGCCGCACAAGUUGAAGGAGGGGUUCAUGGUCUCGUCGGUUAUGAGAAGAGAUACUUCUGAUUUAACUUUAUUGGAGAGUAAUUAAGAAACGGAGGAGUCGUAUUGCAUUUAGUGUGCCUUGUUCUUGAAAAUCCUAGUUCAAGAAAGAUGAAGGAAUGAGUAUGAUUAAAACGUUCAUCUCGAGUGCACAUGCAAAGCCUCCUCAAAGUCAUGGAUUAAUUCAAAGUAUCAAGGAUUUCUUUCUUGAUUUCUUUGGCAAGAUUUGUGAAGGAGAAGGGCCUUACCUGAUCAAAGAAGAAAACCCUGCUCAUCUGCUCGAGAUAUUAAGAAUGCAACUCAUAGACCCAAAUGUUUUCUCAGAAGGCGGAUGCUAUCUAAGGGGUGAAUGGUGCUCAUAUCGUUCAGCCAUGGAGCUCAAGAAAGCAGGACUACGUUUCAGGCAUGGACAUUAAGUUCAAUUCAUUUCAUUGCUCAGCUCUUUUAACACUUCCACCUAUAACCAUAGAUGAUUCAACCAAGUCGGAGCUAUUAAACUUGGUUGCAUAUGAGGCAUGCCCUGACACACCAGAUGACUUUGGUAUUACAUCUUAUCUUUGCUUCAUGGAUUCACUAAUUGAUCAUGCUGAAGAUGUGAAAGAGCUGAGAUCAAAAGGUAUACUUCUUAACUUUCUUGGAAGUGAUCAAGAAGUAGCAGAUCUCUUCAAUGAAAUAGCAAAAGAUUUGGUGCCUAAUCCACAUGCCUUUGUUGGUGUGAAAGACAAAAUUGAGAAUCAUUACAAUAACAAAGGAAAAAUAUGGAUUGCUGAGUGGAAGAACACUCAUUUUAAUACCCCAUGGACUAUUUUUGCAUUUAUUGCAGCAAUUUUUGUCAUUGGUUUGGAAGUUACUGGUAUAGGUCUAUCAGGUAUCCAAACCUACUUUGCAGUCCAUCCCAAAGGCAGCUAGUAAUGAUAGUAUUGAAAUCCUCUUAUAGUAGAAGGCACGGUUGAGCUACUUGAGCUAUCUGUGUCAUCAACAUGCCUGCCCUCCUGUUCUUCCAAAUACCCACUCCCCACCUUUCUCAAACAUUUCAAGCGUUUAUUUUAAACGCAAAAUCAAUUGCUACGUUACCUGGUUGAAUUA